CAAUAGCAGCCUUGCCAUUGUCCAUAAAUACCAAAACAUUUUUUUUCUUAUAACAUUUGGGGAAACGUAUGUUGUCAUUAUUGUAGUCUUAAAUUUAGUUGGCCAACCAAAAUGACCAAAACGUUAACCCGUACUAAGGCUAGGGUGGCUGAGUGUAAAUACAUGGCUCUGAGUGUAAGCACCUUUUCACAAGAAACUAUCUUGUGUUCAAAGUACCGUCAGUGCGAAAUAGCUAGAAAGCGUUCGUAUUUCAACUUGGCUGCACCUACGGUUAUGAGAACGAUCAAUCAUGUGUAAUACCUGCGUCGACCUGUGACUGGCAGAAAAACACCGGAAAGUGUCUAGCCUACCGGAAUGUUACAAGAAGAACAAGAAUGGUUACAUGACAUUCGGCCAUGUGACAUUUGUUGUUUGUAGAUUUUUCGCCCACACAUCGACCCUGGACAGAUAACAGAAGGUGAGAGGGAGCCUUGGAGGGACGUAAAGGAGUUGAUGAAAUCCUGUUAAGACAGACAAUCAGAUGGUAAGUCCUUUGAAGACCCCCAAGACCAACUGGAUGAGGCUAUUAAAAAGGCAGAACGCCUUGCCGAGGAGCUCAACCAAGAGAAGGACCCACAAGCCCAACUGGACGAGGCCAUUAACGAGGCAAAAAGACUGGCCGAGGAGCUCAACCCAGAACGGGAAAAUAAGAAGAAAAAGACAAACAAGCCUCCAGGGAUUAGGUUCAGAUGGAGACAAAGGGAUGAGAGGACAGAUUGUUCCUCAAACCAGGAAGGCAACUACAUCCACUUCUGUUGCUCCAAGGGCCAGUACAUCAAGAGCCAGACUAGUGCAACCUUCUGGACCAGUCACUGAGGAGGAAGAAUCAGAGACAAGGACCAGUGGAUUGGAAUCCACUCCAGUUUUAAACAUUGAUGAAGAAAUAGCAAUACUUCAUAGAGAAAUGAACAUCCUCCUAGCUGACUUAGAAGACCCUGAGUGUUCAAAUCCUGCUGUGCCUGGUGCAUCACACAGUUGGAGAGUGAGGAAGGAACUCUCACAGGAGGGAGUCCAGGCCUGAGAUUGUAGAUUUUCUGCUGGCUGCAGAGCAUGUUUCUCAGAAGAUCUGUCAGUCAUGCAAUGUGAAAAGGGCUAUUCUGCGAUGUAGAGACUCUGCCGAAACAGCUUUACUGCGAAGGCUGCGAUGUCUCUACACAUGCAAAGUUCCCCCUACACAACAGAGAGUCCAUGAUCGAGGGGUUCUACACGCCCCUUCCUCCAACUACAGCCAUAUCUCUCCACAGUGAUGGCAAAUAUACACUUCAUGAACAGGGUGUGCUUUAAAAAAAUUUGCGGCUGAAUGUAUUAUAUCAAAGUUCAAAUGUAUUCUUGUUUAUUGUUGUAUAUAAAUAUUGUCCCUAGAUUGUUUCUUACCAUUGGAUGUACCAGAGGUGAUAUGUGGUUGCCUGAUAAGCACCAUCCAUGUUGGCCCUGGGAAACAUAUAAUACUCGUAGGAAUAAAUGGUCGCUACAAUGUCACAGUGCCUGUGCUUACCUGCACAACUUGUCUUAGCACCUGGACAGCAAACUUGGCAGAUCUGAUAAAGAAUGGGUACUGGCCUGCCACUGUCAACUGUGACACCAUAUACCAGGUAGAUGUGUUCAGCUCUUUUGAGGAGCUGGAAGUGUCAGCCCCAGGAAUGUCCCGUCUGGCGUUUAUGCGGAUUUUGGAGCAGCGAACUGACUUCUUUGGCAGGAACGGAAUGAUCUGUGGGGACACUUUUCAAAAAAGCUUCUUUGAGUGGACGUACUGCCGCUCUGAAAUUGAUUAGGUCUGUGAUAUACAGGACUUUGACUGCCCAGCCUGGUCUGUGAUAUACAGGACUUUGACUGCCCAGCCUGGUCUGUGAUAUACAGGACUUUGACUGCCCAGCCUGGUCUGUGAUAUACAGGACUUUGACUGCCCAGCCUGGUCUGUGAUAUACAGGACUUUGACUGCCCAGCCUGGUCUGUGAUAUACAGGACUUUGACUGCCCAGCCUGGUCUGUGAUAUACAGGACUUUGACUGCCCAGUCUGUUCACCCAGCAUGCUUGCAGUGUCAGUGGACGGGAACAAGAAGCUGUAUCGAUUCAAAAAAGGGUUAUGGAAAAGGAGUAUGUGGAGCAUCCCAGUGGACAGCAGCUAAAGAGUCAUCAAGGAAAACAAACGACAAACUUGAUGAAGAGGGACUCGAAGUAGCCGUCUCUCGCCAUGGAAUACUUCUAAGGAGCCUCAACAUGAUGCGUGGAGUGAUAUUUGCGUCCCCACUGUUCUUGCAGAAGGAAUUGUCUGGAAGCAGGAACAUACAAUUCAUGUGUAUGUGAUCUGCAAAUUUUGGCCAUACCUGACCAAAGUUGCCCGUCAUUGUCCAGAGCUCGCCACUCUUCUUAAACAUGAAGCCACUUCUUUCUGUCAUGCAUGCAAAGGCACAUCGUUUGAAAUGCCAGAUUAAGUGGGGAGGACGGAAUCAGGAAGGAGCUGGCACAACUCUGGGGGAGGAAGUGGAACAAGGGAACAGCUUCUUGUCGAGGGCUGCAAUCUGUUCCAAGCAAAUGUCCAAAGGAGAGGAAACAAAUGAGAACAUGGGACGGUCCCCAGGUACUACAGAUAACAAUUGAAGUCCUGUUUCUUAGCAUCAAACAAAGGAAACAGAACCUCUACCGUCAGACAGCUGACCUACUCACAAAGAAAAUAGCCUUUGACCGGGUGAUGCUCCUGAGACGGCUGAAGGAGGAAGAGUUAAUUGUCCUAAAGAAAGUCUAGCAGCACUGGGAAAGCCUAAAGAGGGAAUCGGAAAAUGUGCAAGACCUUGCUUCACAUGUGGCACUUGACCUAAGCAGGCAAAGCUGGCAAUUGAAUCAGUCGGAAGCUGUGAGCAGAGGUCUCUUCUCCAUGCUUCAGAGGAGAGUCAGCAGCCUCAGAAGACACCAGGACUCUGUCAAACUGAUGUACAGCAAAGCUAUGGGCCAAGACACCUCCCUCCUAGAAAAUAACUUCAUAGAUGACAUCUAUGACAGCAUCCACUACAGCUCUGAUGACGAGGAAUCUAUCACAGACUGAAGGUGUUCGUUUGGGUGGGUGCAGUUUGCACGGGGUAAAAAGUGAUUCCAUUUGUUUUGCAUAUGUGCUUUAUCUGCCUUCCUAAGGAAAAAUAGUUUGAACAUUUUAUGGAAAAUAAACUUUUAUGUUUAUUCCUUGUU